CAGUCGCCGCGGUAAUACGUAGGUGGCAAGCGUUGUCCGGAAUUAUUGGGCGUAAAGGGCUCGCAGGCGGUUUCUUAAGUCUGAUGUGAAAGCCCCCGGCUCAACCGGGGAGGGUUAUUGGAAACUGGGAAACUUGAGUGCAGAAGAGGAGAGUGGAAUUCCACGUGUAGCGGUGAAAUGCGUAGAGAUGUGGAGGAACACCAGUGGCGAAGGCGACUCUCUGGUCUGUAACUGACGCUGAGGAGCGAAAGCGUGGGGAGCGAACAGGAUUAGAGACCCCUGUAGUCCCUGUCUCUUAUAA
rnacentral:rRNA from 1 species